CGGCGCGGAGCCGUCCGGGGCGGGCGGGCCGCCGUUCGGGUCGGCGGACGGGGUGUGGUUCGAGCUGGAGGCGCUGG
rnacentral:tRNA from 1 species